rnacentral:rRNA from 1 species
GAUGAACGCUGGCGGCGUGCCUAAUACAUGCAAGUCGAGCGAACGGACGCGAAGCUUGCUUCGCUGAUGUUAGCGGCGGACGGGUGAGUAACACGUGGAUCACCUACCUAUAAGACUGGGAUAACUUCGGGAAACCGGCGCUAAUACCGGAUAAUAUUUUGAACCGCAUGGUUCAAAAGUGAAAGACGGUGUUGCUGUCUCUUAUCGAUGGAUCCGGGCUGCAUUAGAUGGUUGGUAAGGUAACGGCUUACCACGGCAAGGAUGCGUAGACGACCUGCGGGGCGGAUAGGCGACACGGGAACUGAGACACGGUCCAGACUCCUACGGGAGGCAGCAGUAGGGAACCUUACGCAGUGGGCGAAAGCAUGACGGAGCAGGGCGGAGUGAGUGAUGAAGGUGUUCGGAGCGUAAAACUCUGUUACUAGGGAAGAACAGAUGUGGAAGGAACUGUGCAGAUCUUGACGGUACCGAGUAAGAAAGCACCGGCUAACUACGUG